rnacentral:rRNA from 1 species
UACGUAGGGGGCAAGCGUUGUCCGGAAUCAUUGGGCGUAAAGCGCGUGUAGGCGGCUUGGUAAGUCCGUUCUGAAAGCCCGGGGCUCAACCCCGGGAGGCGGAUGGAUACUGUCAAGCUUGAGUCCGGAAGAGGCGAGUGGAAUUCCCGGUGUAGGCGGUGAAAUGCGCAGAUAUCGGGAAGGAACACCAAUGGCGAAGGCAGCUCGCUGGGACGUGACUGACGGCUGAGACGGCGAAAGCGUGGGG